rnacentral:rRNA from 1 species
GGAGGAUCCAAGUGUUAUCCGGAAUCAUUGGGUUUAAAGGGUCCGUAGGCGGUUUAAUAAGUCAGUGGUGAAAGCCCAUCGCUCAACGGUGGAACGGCCAUUGAUACUGUUAGACUUGAAUUAUUAGGAAGUAACUAGAAUAUGUAGUGUAGCGGUGAAAUGCUUAGAGAUUACAUGGAAUACCAAUUGCGAAGGCAGGUUACUACUAAUGGAUUGACGCUGAUGGACGAAAGCGUGGGUAGCGAACAGGAUUAGAUACCCUGGUAGUCCACGCCGUAAACGAUGGAUACUAGCUGUUGGGAGCAAUCUCAGUGGCUAAGCGAAAGUGAUAAGUAUCCCACCUGGGGAGUACGUUCGCAAGAAUG